AUUAAACGCUGGCGGCAGGCUUAACACAUGCAAGUCGAGCGGGGGAGGUUGCUUCGGUAACUGACCUAGCGGCGGACGGGUGAGUAAUGCUUAGGAAUCUGCCUAUUAGUGGGGGACGACAUUCCGAAAGGGAUGCUAAUACCGCAUACGCCCUACGGGGGAAAGCAGGGGAUCUUCGGACCUUGCGCUAAUAGAUGAGCCUAAGUCGGAUUAGCUAGUUGGUGGGGUAAAGGCCUACCAAGGCGACGAUCUGUAGCGGGUCUGAGAGGAUGAUCCGCCACACUGGGACUGAGACACGGCCCAGACUCCUACGGGAGGCAGCAGUGGGGAAUAUUGGACAAUGGGCGGAAGCCUGAUCCAGCCAUGCCGCGUGUGUGAAGAAGGCCUUUUGGUUGUAAAGCACUUUAAGCGAGGAGGAGGCUCUUAAGGUUAAUACCCUUGAUGAGUGGACGUUACUCGCAGAAUAAGCACCGGCUAACUCUGUGCCAGCAGCCGCCGUAAAAC
rnacentral:rRNA from 1 species